CCCAGACUCCUACGGGAGGCAGCAGUGGGGAAUAUUGCACAAUGGGGGAAACCCUGAUGCAGCGACGCCGCGUGAGCGAAGAAGUAUUUCGGUAUGUAAAGCUCUAUCAGCAGGGAAGAAAAAAGACGGUACCUGACUAAGAAGCCCCGGCUAACUACGUGCCAGCAGCCGCGGUAAUACGUAGGGGGCAAGCGUUAUCCGGAUUUACUGGGUGUAAAGGGAGCGUAGACGGCAAUACAAGUCGGAAGUGAAAUACCCGGGCUCAACCUGGGAACUGCUUUGGAAACUGUAUGGCUGGAGUGCUGGAGAGGUAAGCGGAAUUCCUAGUGUAGCGGUGAAAUGCGUAGAUAUUAGGAGGAACACCAGUGGCGAAGGCGGCUUACUGGACAGUAACUGACGUUGAGGCUCGAAAGCGUGGGGAGCAAACAGGAUUAGAUACCCGUGUA
rnacentral:rRNA from 1 species